CUUUAUACAACGCACGCGCCCUUUCGGGAUAAAACUAUGGAGUAAUUUCACGCCAUGAGAAUACCCAAUAGCAAACUACAAGAGUUCGAAACAUGUUUGAAAUACUCAAAUCCUUUUGGAGAAAAAAUAGGACAAACCCCCAUUUGCACCUGGAGAUUUGAAGUAAGCAGAGCUUUUAAGGGCCCACUAAGUCGAUUAUAUAGCUAUAAUUCUCAAGCGGAAGCUAGAGAUUCGUAACUAUACAAAAGAAUAAGUUAUCCGAAGAUAUUUUUAACUUGAACAGAUCAGAGUUCCAUUCAGGAAUACCUUUUGCGGUCCGCACAGACCGCAGAGGACAAGCUUCUUUCAAAGCAAUAGUUAUGGUAUACCAUAAUGGAGGGCAUUGUAGGUACAAAACCACAGUGAACUCUCUUAGAGUAGCAAUGGAAGCGAGUUAUCCAUAAAAUGUGGUCGCAACCAAAAUUUUUGAAGGGGGGGGGGGGGUGGACAAAAAGUGAAAAAUAAAUUUGUAUCAGCCUAAUUAUAUGAAAAUAAAGAUUUUUACAUAAUUUCUAAAACUGUUCCUAGAACAUCUAAACAAUAGCCAAACUUGAUAUUUGAAUUUCAAAUGAAUAAUUAUUGCUUCACUAAUAACUGCUAAAGGGUGGUACGGUCAAAUUUUAUUAGUACAGGUUCCCUAGUUUGUUGAGCAGGGUCGCCUGAAUACGCAAAUUUUGCGAAGGAACACUCAAAAGUGCAAAGAAGGUCACAUGGAGACUCCUCAUCUGACACAUGCCAAUCAGCCAACUCAUGAAGUAUUCUGCUCAUGCAGAGUUGGGUUAGGUGAAAUUCUAUGUUAAGUUAUCCAUGAACUGUACUACCUAAGUAAUCCAUCCAACUGAAGCAUCUCAAAUUAAUGUUUGAGCUACUUCAGAUGAUGUAAUCACCGUAGCAAUACUGCCAAAUACCAGCGAAAAGAUUUUGAAUACAAGAGCUUGCUUGAAGGCAUCAAUAAGCAAAUGUUGAAACAUACUGUUUACGUUAUUCUAGAAUAUAGCAUGCUCAAGGCACGACACUUCAUUUCAUAAGGUAACCUAUAUAGAAGUUACCCUACGAAAAUGAACUUUUUGAAGUAGAGCCACUUGGGCUACGCACGCUUUUUACGCUGAAAAUUGAUCUAAGGUUUCCUAGCCGUAGCCACUACCCAAACUAAACAGGAUUACACUCUUCACAAUCACAGCACAAAAAGGAAACAUCGACGACAAACCAAAUCGGUGUCAAUUGAAAAACGCCAAUGGCGAAAACGCAUUUAGCGAAACCAUAUAGGUGAUAAUGUAAGCUAAUUUACAACAUUUGAAUAAUCCCGCCCUUAUUUAGCCUCAAAUUUGAGACUUAAGAAAGACAACUGAUUAUCUCGGAGAAACGCAAGGUCAACUGCACUAUUGCUCCGGUUAGUGCAGUAAGGACGUAAUACUGUGGAGGACGCCCUAAUUCUCCACAGGCUCCGUAUGUGGUUAGGCUUUUAUAUGACCCCCCUAACCAUUCAUUCCUUGGCACGGUAAGCAUAAAGCCGCAUAACACCAUGAAUUAGGGGUCACCUGUUUAGUGGACUCUUACCACUGGAUCAGGCGGUCCGUAGUGUUAUUCUUAGCCAAUUGAGACAACCGCUACCGACACUACACAGCUAUCUAGGCUGAUCGGGAAAAGAAGCUAACAUUGAUGGUUAACUUCCAAACGAGCCCGAACAGCCAGUAGAUUUGUUGUAGAAAAUAAUCUUUGAAAUCAACGUCCUUUUACGUUAACAGCUGAUCAAAGCUAAAAUGAGUUUUUUAUUAUAAAAUGUUCAAUUAUCAAUUAGGGUUCUACUACUCACAAUUUAGUUUCCGAUCCGUUAUCCUCUUGCGAACGGGUCUCGCUAGGUAUAUAGAUGGUAAUGCACGAAUCUAUUUUAUGCAAAUUUCAAUCAAAUUGUACAUAGUAGGUUAUUUUAAUUGUAAUAGUAUCAAAUUGGAGAUAGUUUAUAGGAACAUGUAGAGAACUUACUAUUGACCUAUCGACCUAACGUACCUAUUUAUUUAAGUUUUAGUUAGUUUUAAGUACAAAUCUUAAACAAAUUCAAUUGAACUUACGUGUACAGUAAAUAGUAGAACCAAAUUUUAAUAAUUUUUUGUUUAAUAUUCAAUCAAACUUAGCGAUUCUUCUGAUUUUAACUCUGCACUUAUAGCAUUACUUCCACGUUACUAGUGACUAUCAAUUUUUUUCUGUUUUGACGUACCAUCCUAUUCAUACCGCAGAGUGAUGACCGUUUCAAACCAACGCCUCACUUUGCCGCAGGGAUGUCAUGCUGAGCCCAGUGGUGUUGAUCGGAACAUACCCCGGCCCGUGAACCUGGUCCCGAGGUCACAUCCGGAACAGCGUCACCAUCACUGAUCUCCAACUGGGCGAGCUUCGCCACAGCCCGCUUCAAUACUCCAUUGUUGGUUCGAACCAACGCUUGCCUUACUCUCCCAUCUUUCGAUACGAUUGGUUCCUCUACAAUACCGCGUACCCAGUACUUCCGCUUAUCUCCAUCGACGAUAUACACCAGAUCCCCAGCCUUCAAAUUAUCGGUUUCUCCGAACCACUUCUUGCGUUGACACAACGAUGGAACGUAUUCCUUGAUCCACCUGUUCUACAUAUCUUCGGCCAACUUCUGCGAACGUUUGAAGGAGUCCCUCAUAACUUCCGCUGGAUGCACUGGAACUGCUGCAACCAGUGAUUCGUUCGGCGAACUGCCACGGAGAAAAUGGUUUGGGCUGAGCGCUUCCGCCUUGUCCGUAUCCUGGCUAACAUACACAAGUGACCGAGAAUUUAUGAUGUCUUCAGCUUCUGUGAUCGACGUUAGAAGAACUUCAUCGGUCAGGCGGCUUCCGUCGUUAAUCGCAGCCAAAACAUCCUUCACGGACCUUACAAGUCUCUCCCAAACUCCCCCCAUAUGGGGAGAGGCAGGAGGAUUGAAGGUCCACUUCAUUCUAGCUGACGUGAACUCAUCAGCGCAUUCCAUCCCAAUACAGCGAACAGCAUCAACUAUCUCUUUACUUGCGCCUCGUAGAUUGGUCCCGUUGUCCGAGAAGAAUUCUGUAGGUGGACCACGGCGACAAAUAAAACGGCGGAUUGCCAUCAAACAAGACUGAGUUGUAAGUGAAUGUGCUACUUCGAGGUGGACUGAUCUCACGACUAAACAAGUGAAUAGAACUAUCCAACGGUCUCAGAAAUGGCGUUAGUCUCUGUACCGGUAAUGCUGCCAUUCUAGGGAUAUGUGGACGGUUUUUGUUGGUUCUGCACCACAUACAACCUGCAGCAACCCUGGUGAUCACAGCGCCCACCGCCUGCACGAAAAAUCUCUGGCGCAUCUCGUUCUUCGCCGUCUCUCUGUAUCCAUGGCCGAACCGUUCAUGAUAGUGUUGAACAAUUUUCACCGUGACUUCAUGUUCCUUUGGCAGCACUAUCGGAAAUCGAAGAUCAAAGGAUAGAAAAUCCGCACGUUCUACACGACUUUCCAUCCGCACAAUACCGUCAUCAUCGAUAAGGGGUGCUAAUUUGUACAAAAGCUUGAUUUUCCGAUCUGCAGCUGAUUUGCCAUCACAGUUUUCGCGUUGUUUGUCAACACCUUCACCUCAUCACCAAAAGAUUCAGCUUGGGCUAUCUUGAUUAGAAUCCGUUCCGCCUUCUCGUACUCAUCUUGUUUUAACGAAGUCUUCUGUACAGGUUUAAGGCAACGUUUAAGGCCGCACGGGACGACGUGUAAUUUUUCCUAUCUUCCCUCUUUUUCUAACAAUUUGCCUCGCGAUUUUGAAGAAGCAAAUAUCAGUUUCUACUGCACUGACGUAGCUGAAACUUUAGUCGAUUGUGCACCACAAGUGAGCAAAUGAACGAUCAAAUUUCUAGUCAAUAAUAUCAAGUAGAAGUUGAGAUUUGCAUCUCACUAGCAACAGAGCAAUGGCGGACGAUUCAACCACCGUCCCGUCCGGCCUUAAUUUUUGAUAUCUUCCCUAUUCUUUCUAAGGCCAGUAGUACACAGGGUCAAAUAUUUGACAAGGAAAGAACUCAAGAAACAACAUCAGUUUGACACUAAUGAAAAUUCGAUCGAGUCAAACAAGAUGUUUGAGCAUUGGUUUCUUUUUGGACAAAUAUUUGACCCUGUGUACUAACAGCUUAACAAUUUACCUCGCGAUUAUGAAGAUGCAAAUAUCAAUUUCCUCUGCACUGACGUAGCUGAAACUUUAGUCGAUGUGCACCACAAGUGAGCAAAUGAACGACAAAUUUCUAGUCAACAAUAUGAAGUAGGAGUUGAGAUUUGCAUUUUACUAACAAUACAGAGCUAUGCAAUGGUGGACGAUUCAACCACCGUCCUCCCGUCCAGCCUUAAACUAAUGGACGUGAUUUUUGGUGCACGCUGAAAUCAGGGAUGGGAAAUUUCACGGAAUUCCAUGAAGAAAAUGUCAUGACAUUUUUCAAUUUCCAUUACUUCCGGUGCGAAUUUCCGUGGAAAUUGGAAAUUCAUAAUGUCGUCGACAAACAUUUCUUACAUAGUACAAAGAAAAUCAGCAAAUAACUAAAUUAUAUUUUUGCGACAUUUCCCAUCCCUGGCUGAGAUACACACAACCAAAAAAUGCAUGUUAAUUGGUUUGAUAUUGACAGACCUAUAGCAGCAAGUGUCUUGAACACACUACCCAUGACAACAAAAGAAACGGUAUUGAUCGGUACAGUAAUCAUCUGUUAUCAAAUAUGAUAAAUAAGGGAGCGUUGGAUCACAAAGGGUACUCAUAUUUUAUAUUUUUCGAAAAAUAGGUAGAACUUUUCAAAUAAAUCAUAGACGUAACUUCCAGAAUCAGUUUCCGAAAUCCCCUCAAAAACAUCUGAUUGAACUGUUUGAAGGUUUUCAGAAGUAUUCUUAUUUAAUGAGAAAUGAGAUAAAAAUGUAUAUGUAGAUUUUCUAAAUCCUUCGGGGGAAAAUAUCUCUAGUUUACAGCAUUUUUAAACUCGGUAAGCUGAAGAUCAUUUUUAGUGUAGAAUCAUGCUCUGAGUUCAAAAACGUGAAGGAAAAAAAACAGUAGAGCGAACUUUUUUUCGACUUUCCAAGGCUCCAUUUCAAAUCGAUUUUUGUUCUAUUUUUAAGCAACCCUUCAUGCAUCUCUUUUUCCAUAACCAAUGCUGCAAUUGAGCUUAAUAUUAUGAUAAUAUGAUUUUCAUUGUCACUAGAUAAUAUCUAAUAUUUCAAAUGUUAGUUAAGAAAGAAUUUUUUAAUUGAUUUUUUCGUAGUAAAACAAUAAAAAUUUGUAUCAUUUUUUUUUUUGGAAAUUUUGCUGGAAUUUAAGGAGAUUGGCCAAUAUAAUCACCAAUAUCUCGAAUCCCACUAAUUUGAUGCAAAAAAUAUGUUCAGAUGAUCGAAACAUACUUAUUAUAUUCAGCUCUAUUUAUGCAAAAAGAUUGAAAAUUGGUUGACCGCAACGCAAGGCAUUAGGGGUACUCACUAAACAGAUUAAAUUGCUGCGUAAGCCUUGAUUUUCUGCUUAUUUGCGGAUGAAAUAAUCAAAGGAUGCGGAUGAAAUAAUCAAAAAUUGCCUUUGGUGAUCACGACGUUUAAUCAGUUUAAUUAGUUUACGCUGUUAAGUGAAUCACCCUAUUUAUAUUUUAGUAAAUUCCAUAUUUUUUAAAUCUGUAGAGCUCGAUUUUCAGGAAAAACUUAAAAACUGUUCUACUUAUAUUUUUUGAAGUACGAUCUUGAUAUCAGCACAUACAGGGGAUAAACAAAAUGAUCGGGACAGGCCAAUUUUUCAUUUUUCAAAAAAUGUUCCAUUAGCUGUAACUUUUCGAAAAGUGCAUCAAAUAUUCUCAAAUUUUUACAGUAAGUUAAUCUACUAGUUGUGUAUCAGUGGACAAAGUUUGAAAAAGAUCGGGCUAUUCUGCAUGAAGUGAUGAAGAUUCUAGAAAAAGAUAUAAUUAUCCUAUAGUCAACUUGGAGCUGUUGUAUCUCUGGAUUCAAUGAACCAAAUGGAAUGAAAUUUUGACCAUUUAUGACUUAUAUAAUGAGCAUUGAAAAACGUUUGACUCAACUUGAAAUUCUUAACACGGAAGAAAAUUAUAACGAUUAGAUUCUUUUUCUAAUAAAACACCAAAUUUUCUUAAAUUUCAACAUCGUUUGAAAAUUCAAGAUGCUAAUUAUAGCUCUAUUAAAUUCUCUCUAAUCGUUUUGAAUAUAAAUAUGUUUUGAAAGAAAGUAACAAGAUAGUCGGAAAUUAAUCGAAAAAGUAAUGGGAUGCAUAUGAAAAAUAGACCAAUUUACUAAAAAGUCAUAAAAUAAAUGAAAUCGCUACAACUUUUUCUGUUGGUGAUAAUUUUAAUUCGAGUCAAACGUUUUUAAGAGCUCAUUAUAUAAGUCAUACAUGGUCAAAAUUUCAUUGCAUUCGGUUUAUUGAAUUCGGAGAUAUAACAGCUCACAGUUGCUAACGGAUAAUUAUAUCUUUUUCUAAAAUCUUUAUCACUUCGUGUGUCCACUGAUACACAACUAGUUAAUUAACUUACAAAUACUUGAGAAUAUUUGAUACACUUUUCGAAAAGUUACAGCUAAUUGAACAUUUUUUGAAAAGUGAAAAUUUUGCCUGUCCCGAUCAUUUUGUGUAUCCCCUGUAAUUAUACAGUAGACGUAUGAUAAGUGCAACAUGUUUACGUUUCACUUACCGAAUGACAUUCGACAACUGCAACAAUUGACAGAAGUCAAAGAACUGUCACUCGCUGCAGAAUGCUGCCAAUGUGCAUUCAGAAAACAUCGCACUGCAACAAAAGUGCAUCCGAAAAACAUCGCAUCGCUGUUGAUAUUUGAUUUUGACGGAUAGCGGUGCGAUAACUACAAAAUUGUUGCACAGUGAACUUGCAACUAAAGCGUUUGCACUGAGCGAACGUCUACUGUACAUCAAAAAUUGUGGUCGUUGAUAGAAGUUCACGACUAUCGUUUUAUUUUGUAAACUAGUGCAGAGGUUCCCAAACUUUUUGCUCCCGCGGCGCCUUUUGAAAUUUUCAAAAAUGUCGCGGCGCACCAACAACUUUAUGCAAAGAUUUUUUGUCAUUUCAACUAUUUAACUUCAAAAUUUCAAAUACAAAUGGUAAAAAACUUCAAUAUUAUGUUUUCUUUGAAACCACUUAAGGCGAAACUGGAAGCAUUUUCUAAUUUUUUCAGUUUUUGAUUUAAAAAAAAAUAACGAAGCAAUAUUUUCAAAAACGGUUUUCGUAUACAUGUAGAGUAUGGAUCAAUGUAUCUUCAGAAUUUUUUUGGUGUUGAAAAAAUUUUCCAUUUUUUCGAAAACCAUUUUUUUGUGAAAUUUCGUUCAAAAAUGGUUUCUGCAAAAACAAAAAACAUUUUCCACUACGAAAAAAAAAUCAGAAGAUACCUUGAUCCAUCCUCUACAUGUGUACGAAAACCGAUUUUGAAAAUAUUGCUUCGUCAUUUAAUAAAAAAUCAAAAACCAAAAAGUGAAGAAAUGCUUCCAGCUUCGCCUUUAAGUCUUAAAACGUGGAGCGAACCUGGUGUGAUGGUUAGAUAACUUGGCUAUCACUCCGAGGAACUGGGAUCGAAUCUCACUUCUGAAAAACUCGCAAAAUGUGAGUUCUUCCUUCGGAAAGGAAGUAAACCCGAGAUGAACUAGCCUAAGGCUUGAGGAUUCACAGAACUUUGCAAACAAUAUACAUUUCUGGAGCAUUAAUCUGUCAGGAAGGCUGGCAGUGCGAUGGGUAAUUUUUUUCGUUUUCGUGCAAGAGGACCACAACUCAAAAAAAGGGGUUUUCGAACAAAAUCGACGUACAAAUUGCCACCGAAUUGUUUUACAAUAGUGAUGUUAGUAAUAAUGUCGUCCCGAAACAUUUGAGAUUGAAAAUCGAAUACUAUAAGCUGAGUCAUAAAUUGUUAUUGAUUAAUUUCAGUAUCUAAAUAAACAUUUUGAAAGUUCCGGAAAUUUACAAAUGUGAUAAAAAUGUAAGUUUCAUGAGGAUUUAAGAGGUUCGGUGAAAUAUUCGAAGACUUUCAAAUAUUUGUUUUUUUUUUUUAAAUAAGUUAUUUGAAGAUAUGACAAAACCACAUCUCAUAUUUUUAAGAAUAUAAAUCUGAAGAAUCAAAUGUCUGUUUGCGGAAACCAAUCAAUCAUCUUUUCAGCGCAAACCAAAAUUUGGGUUUUCAGCUUUGCGCUCUUUUAAUUUCAGGGCUUCGUCGUACAUUCACCUAAACCAAAAAUUUUGAAGAAGAAAUUGUCAUUUGAGUGAUUUUCUUUCAAAAUCUCCCUAAAAAACGGCUUUGGAAUAGAUUUAAGAAAGGCUAUGAGGUGACAUAAUUUUUUGAUAAUCAAAACAAAAACAUCAAAAAGAUAUACUCCGCUUUGAAUAAUAAGAGUUUGUUCUUAUUAUUUGCUCAAGAGCCUGCGGCGCACCUAGGAUAUGUUCACGGCGCACAGUUUGGGAAGCACUGAACUAGUGUAACAGUGUAUCAGGUAUCAGUAGGUCGGCUCCAGAGGCACGUUCUCCUUCAUUUGGGAAAUUCGUGCCAUCGCUAUUAAUACGAGCCUAUUCAUCAUUUAGCUGAGCGAAAGGGAAGGAAGAAAUAAGGGAAGGGAUAGGGAAAGGGAAGGUAAGCGAAUAGGGUGUAAUAGUGUAGUAGAUCAUUACCUAAUUUUUUCUUCAUUUUUAAUAGAUUAUUUUUCUUUUUCUGUAUGGCUGUACGUUCCCACUGGAACUUGGCCAGCCUAUCUUCAACGUAGUGUUCUUUGAGCACCUCCGCAGUUUUUAAUUGAAGGGCUUUAUUUGCCUACCAUUGCAUUAAUUUGUUUUCUAAGAGGCAAGCACAAUAAUACACUAUGCCCAGGGAGUCGAGAGAAAAUUUUCCCGACCGAAACGGGAAUCGAACUCGCCGUCUCCGAAUUGGCGAUCCAAAGCCUCUGUUGCGUACAGAUUUAGUACGCUUGAUGAUGAGUUGAACUGGUAACAAUGAAGCAAGUGUGAAGCGUGAAAGUGGUGGCGACAGAGCCGACGGUGCUAUGAUUUUACGACUCGGCAGUGUCGUUUAGUUCGUCAGGAAGGAAGGAACUGCACUCCGGUUAGGAGAUUCGUGUGUCCCGUGAACAUUCACUACAUUUAUUGGAGCUGCCUGAAGUAGAAGCUGCUACCGAUGUGUGGUUUUUGUUCCGUGACAAGUCGUCCUAACAAACUCCAAUAAAUGUAAAUCAUCAGCCAGAAGCAACCGCCAUGGAAAGUACAAUGAGAGAACUUUCCCUUCUAGAAGAGAAGAGUAAGCUGUGGCGGAGGCAUCAUGAAGAGCAGAGUGAGUUGCGACGAAAGUACUACGAAGAGGAAAAACGUCGAAUCGAAGAAGAGUACCAGCGAGAACUGGCGGAGAUUGAAGAAGAAUUCCGAAGGGCUGCACAGAAAAUGAAGUCAGACUUCAGCGCCCAGAGGAGAGCAGUGUUACGGCAACAUAAUGGGAGUAAGGUCAGCGAGGGAACGGUGGAGGAGCCGCAUCCAAGUGACAAAACCCAGCCUCAAAAUGACAGCACUGCAUUGCUUUCGAGAAAUACUGAUUCUCCAGUUUCUGUUCCGCAGAGCACCAUCAGCUGUGACCAAGAGUGUACGACACACACAAAGCGCGGAGAGAUCAGCAAAACAAUACCAGCUGAUUCUACAGCUGUUUCGUUCGUCAGCACCCGAUCGCUGACGUCAUCGAUCCACUGGAACAAACGAAUGUUUACUACAGUCCCACAGAAUGAAUCAGAAAUCGAAAUUGAUCCACUAAAAAUCAUGUCCUUUGUUGAGUGUGCGGCGUACGAGACCUGUGUGAAACAAAUCGGUUCGAGUAAGCGCGCUCGCCGCCGCCGCUAUAGAAACACAGGCGAUAGUCGUCAAUUGGAAAUUUGGCUGUUUGAUCCCGGUGGUGGGUAUUGUGCUGUAGCAGGGGAACGAGUUGGCUCGGUUUGCGUGUACUGCAGUACGUUGCUGCUACCUAGAUGUAGCAUCGAACCAAAACUGCACCCCAGUAUUUUGGAGAUUUAGUUUGUCACCAGUUCCACGGGGGGGAAUGUUGCGUACAGAUUUAGUACGCUUGAUGAUGAGUUGAACUGGUAACAAUGAAGCAAGUGUGAAGCGUGAAAGUGGUGGCGACAGAGCCGACGGUGCUAUGAUUUUACGACUCGGCAGUGUCGUUUAGUUCGUCAGGAAGGAAGGAACUGCACUCCGGUUAGGAGAUUCGGUCUGUCCCGUGAACAUUCACUACAUUGUAAGUUAAAUUAAGUGAUAUGUAUGAAUAUAAUAACAAUUAAAUAAAUUUGCAGUAUUGGAGCUGCCUGAAGUAGAAGCUGCUACCGAUGUGUGGUUUUUGUUCCGUGACAAGUCGUCCUAACAGCCUCAAUCACUAGGCAAACUGGAGACCCUGGGUUAAGAAUUCCACAAGUAGAAUAAACGAAUCAUAAAAAAAUUACAUUUCCAUCCCGGUUUUUACAAUAAUUGUAAUUCAUAACACUCGAAAGAAAACCAAUGGAUUUCUAAAUUGCCUGUGAACGCAUAAGUGUCUCAAGUGCAAAAACAGGCAAUCGAGACAAUCGCGUCCAAAACUCAAUACAGUAAUCUGGCUUAUCUCAGCUGAACUAUGAAGUAGAGGUGCUGAAUCGUGUUCUAAUGUCAGCCAAUCCCGAAGUGUUCAACAAUAUUGUUUUAGAGUGAUUUUGAAGUUUCAAAAACGUCACUGUCUACUUUUAAGAACGUAACAAAUCAGCAUUGCUUUUGCGUAGGCGAUCAUUCGUCACGUAUUUAACGGGACAACAAAAUUUUUAAACAAUUGCCACUAUAGAAUAGUUAGCGGGGGUUUCGGCAAUUUAUGGAACUAACGACCUGUUUUUAUUUCCCUAUCACUAUGAUUCAUCUCAUGUUCAUAAGCUCAAAAAUCUUAAUUUCGCCAAAGAGUCACAUAGGACAGUUAUGAUUCCACGGGCAGAGGCUUUCAAAGAAAAUUUAAAUGAAUUCUGGUGGCAAUCCCAAAAUGUACUUGUAAAGGAUCCAAAUUGUCGCGUACAAUAAGGGGGAAAAUCGACAAUAUUAGAUGCUGUCCCAAUAUGGUCGAGCUGUUGCAAUACCAGAAAGAAACAACUUCAGAGAAUUCAGCUUAAAAUUUUGAACAUGAUUUUGAAGUUGCCCCCAGUACAUCACUAAUGAAAUGCAUUAAAUUUCCAAUAUUGAAACAUUGGAACAGAUGCCAACGAAAAUCAUUGCAAAUUUUCGUCAAAAAUCUUCUAUUGCUACGAUUAGUUCUUUGUAUAUUUAAUUUAAGUUAGGCUAGAGUUAGGGUAAGUAAGUAGAGUUAGGGUAAGUUGAAAAAAAAAAAGAUUUUCCGACACGCAUGUGAAAAAAAAACCUGCAAAAAAAAUCUUUGUUACAGUAAAUGACAUGAACACCUAGUUUAAGUUGAGGAAUGCAAAAAUUCAUUGAGAUACCUAUAAAGCUGUUACAAAUAUUUAUUUCACUUUUUGUCCCACCACUCUUUGGCUGAUUGAGGGGGGGAUAAAAAUAAUAAAGCAUUUAGGGGGAUUAGGGGCCUAAUGGACACCCGGGGCGAAAUGGACACCCCUGUUUUUGCCGAAACCGUUGAAUUUUAUGUAAAACUUUUAAUGCAUAAGUGUAAAGGCACAAGUCAUCGUUCUAUUUUUCAAAAGUACCAUUUAUAUUCCUACAAAAUAACCAAAAUAUCAUUGAAAUUGAAGUAGGUAUGUUUUUCAUAUGGUGGAUUUCUUAUAAUUUCGAAGCAGCAGCCAAUAAGGUAUUACGAGUGUUUGAGUGUGUUCACCAUUAAAACAAGUGAAUGGAUCAUUGAAGCCGACUUUUCCGCUACUCACCGCAUCAAAACAAAAGCGUCACCGUAUAUGGACGGUAACACAGUGACAGCAGUCGAGUUACGUCAAACACACAAGGCUACGGUGGCGCUAUCUGUUCAUUUCAUAGCGGUCGUUUUAGUUAUUUUAGUGAUCCAUUGUUAGCUCUUUUACAUGUAUACGCAGAUUUAGCAAUGGAUAAAGUAUUAUAUUUUUGUUCAGAACUUACUCAAAAUAGCAAUUUCAAUGUUAUAGUCGAUUCGGGGCGAAAUGACCACUGGCAAUUAUAAAUGGAUGUACGCGCGUUGCAUACUGUUAGGCGUUUUAGAAAGUUUGGAAACAAUGAAUCCGAUUAUUUUAGCCUAAAAUUUAUUUAAUUAACUUUGAUGUUAUGUAAACUCGUCUAAGAUGGAGUAUUAUAUCUGUGGUAUUGAUCUCCGUAGGCAAACUACUUAACUGGUCGAUAUUAUCAAAGAUACAGCAUAAAAUAUGCAGGGGUGUCCAUUAUGCCCCGAUGGGUGUCCAUUUCGCCCCGUAGCUUUCCUGCCAGCCCUAAAAAACACACGGUUUACAAUUCAUUAUUUCUUCACAAUAAUGACAUUCUACCUGCUGUAAAUGAUUAAAGUUGUAAGCCAACCGAUAAUAUGUUAAGUUUUUGUCUGCCAUACAGGCCUAACAUGCUCCUUUGCUUAGGGUGUCCAUUAUGCCCCUAAUCCCCCUAAUCUGAAAAAUAUUAAAAAAACUCAUCGGAUUUGUUAAAGAAAUUUUAGCAAGACCCGAUUUAUUGAUAAAUAUUUUUUUGGUGGAAAAUCCAGCCAAACAUUUUUGAAGGGGUUUGAAAUUAGUUUUGCCUUAUUUUUUUUAGGAAUUUGUAAUGUAUUCCUCACUUAGCUGAAAUCAGAGUUCGGCAGCAGCAAAGUUUCGCGCGCUCGCUUUGCUAGAUUUUUGCGAUUUUUUUUCUCUGCGGGGCUCCGACGACGGGACGCCAAGCAGUCAGUAGUGUGCGGUAGUUCGGCAGCAGCAAAGUUUCGCGCGCUCGCUUUGCUAGAUUUUUGCGAUUUUUUUCUCUGCGGGGCUCCGACGACGGGACGCAAAGCAGUCAGUAGUGUGUGGUAGUUCGGCAGCAGCAAAGUUUCGCGCGCUCGCUUUGCUAGAUUUUUGCGAUUUUUUUUCUCUGCGGGGCACCGACGACGGGACGCCAAGCAGUCAGUAGUGUGCGGUAGUUCGGCAGCAGCAAAGUUUCGCGCGCUGGCUUUGCUAGAUUUUUGCGAUUUUUUUUUCUUCUCUGCGGGGCUCCGACGACGGGACGAGUGUGCGCGCGCCGUGGUUCGAGUCGGUUCCGAAUUUUUCGCUUCCCAUCGGCGCUAGUUUCCAAUACACUUUUAGUUGAUAAUAAAUAUUUUCUUUCAUUUUUU